rnacentral:rRNA from 1 species
GCAAGUCGAGCGGAGAGAGGUAGCUUGCUACUGAUCUUAGCGGCGGACGGGUGAGUAAUGCUUAGGAAUCUGCCUAUUAGUGGGGGACAACAUUUCGAAAGGAAUGCUAAUACCGCAUACGUCCUACGGGAGAAAGCAGGGGAUCUUCGGACCUUGCGCUAAUAGAUGAGCCUAAGUCGGAUUAGCUAGUUGGUGGGGUAAAGGCCUACCAAGGCGACGAUCUGUAGCGGGUCUGAGAGGAUGAUCCGCCACACUGGGACUGAGACACGGCCCAGACUCCUACGGGAGGCAGCAGUGGGGAAUAUUGGACAAUGGGCGGAAGCCUGAUCCAGCCAUGCCGCGUGUGUGAAGAAGGCCUUAUGGUUGUAAAGCACUUUAAGCGAGGAGGAGGCUACUUUAGUUAAUACCUAGAGAUAGUGGACGUUACUCGCAGAAUAAGCACCGGCUAACUCUGUGCCAGCAGCCGCGGUAAUACAGAGGGUGCAAGCGUUAAUCGGAUUUACUGGGCGUAAAGCGCGCGUAGGCGGCUAAUUAAGUCAAAUGUGAAAUCCCCGAGCUUAACUUGGGAAUUGCAUUCGAUACUGGUUAGCUAGAGUGUGGGAGAGGAUGGUAGAAUUCCAGGUGUAGCGGUGAAAUGCGUAGAGAUCUGGAGGAAUACCGAUGGCGAAGGCAGCCAUCUGGCCUAACACUGACGCUGAGGUGCGAAAGCAUGGGGAGCAAACAGGAUUAGAUACCCUGGUAGUCCAUGCCGUAAACGAUGUCUACUAGCCGUUGGGGCCUUUGAGGCUUUAGUGGCGCAGCUAACGCGAUAAGUAGACCGCCUGGGGAGUACGGUCGCAAGACUAAAACUCAAAUGAAUUGACGG